rnacentral:misc_RNA from 1 species
CUCCAACCCCACUUCAUUUCCUUCGAAACUACGUCUCUCCAAACAAACCCUGUAUCAUCUCCAACGCCAUCACCCACUGGCCUGCUCUCUCUCUCUGGCCCAACCUCUCCUACCUCUCCCAUUCCCUCUGCCACUCCUCCGUUUCCCUCCACCUCACCCCUCAUGGCCGUGCUGAUUCCCUCGUCCCCUCCACCCCCACCCAUCAUUCCUUCUGCUUUGCCUCCGCUAACGUGCAGCAAGUGCC